UCGCCCGCCGCGCGCGGCGGGCGGGGCGGGGGCACGGGGGGCUGGGAGGCAGCAGUAGGGAAUUUUCGGCAAUGGAGGAAACUCUGACCGAGCAACGCCGCGUGGGUGAAGAAGGCUCUCGGGUUGUAAAGCUCUUUCGGUGGGGAAGAAAUUGCUCUUGCUAAUACCGAGUGUAGAUGACGGUACCCGCAUAAGAAGCACCGGCUAACUACGUGCCAGCAGCCGCGGUAAUA
rnacentral:rRNA from 1 species